GCAUCGGUGGUUCAGUGGUAGAAUUCUCACCUUCCAUGUGGGAGACGUAGGUUUGAUUCCCAGCCAAUGCA
rnacentral:tRNA from 1 species